AUCGCACCUGUUCUCGUUCGAUCACUGAAGUUAAGCAUCGUUGAGCCCGGUCAGUACUUUGAUGGGGUGGGGGGUCCGCUUGAGAACACCGGGUAUUGUAAG